GAUGAACGCUAGCUACAGGCUUAACACAUGCAAGUCGAGGGACCGGCGCACGGGUGAGUAACCCGUACCCAACCUUCCCUUUACCCGUGGAUAGCCUUUCGUAAGACAGAUUAUUCCCCGAUGUAAAGGAUGGGGAUGCGUUCCAUUAGGUUGUUGGUGAGGUACCGGCUCACCAAGCCUUCGAUGGAUAGGGGUUCUGAGAGGAAUGUCCCCCACAUUGGAACUGAGACCCGGGCCAAACUCGUACGGGAGGCAGCAGUGAGGAAUAAUGGUCAAUGGGCGUUAGCCUGAACCAGCCAAGUAGCGUGAAGGAUGAAGGCUCAUGGGUCAUAAACUUCUUGUAUAUAAGAGUAUGUAUUAGAUGAAUAAGGAUCGGCUAACUCCGUGCCAGCAGCCGCGGUAAUUC
rnacentral:rRNA from 1 species